UUGAACGCUGGCGGCAUGCCUUACACAUGCAAGUCGAACGGCAGCACGGGAGCAAUCCUAGUGGCGAGUGGCGAACGGGUGAGUAAUAUAUCGGAACGUGCCCAGUCGUGGGGGAUAACGUAGCGAAAGCUACGCUAAUACCGCAUACGAUCUAUGGAUGAAAGCGGGGGAUCGCAAGACCUCGCGCGAUUGGAGCGGCCGAUAUCAGAUUAGGUAGUUGGUGAGGUAAAGGCUCACCAAGCCGACGAUCUGUAGCUGGUCUGAGAGGACGACCAGCCACACUGGGACUGAGACACGGCCCAGACUCCUACGGGAGGCAGCAGUGGGGAAUUUUGGACAAUGGGCGCAAGCCUGAUCCAGCAAUGCCGCGUGCAGGAUGAAGGCCUUCGGGUUGUAAACUGCUUUUGUACGGAACGAAACGGUGAGCUCUAAUACAGUUUGCUAAUGACGGUACCGUAAGAAUAAGCACCGGCUAACUACGUG
rnacentral:rRNA from 1 species